rnacentral:lncRNA from 1 species
AUUUGUUAUUUUUUCCAUUAAUAUAAUCACAUUUGCAGUGUUUCUAUUGAUAUCUGGCAUGUCUUUUCAGACAAACACCUCUGUGUCCAGCAUCCUGCGGUCUCCAGCGAUAAAAGAUGCAUCUAAGCCGGAAACAGACUCUCCUUCCAGCGCAAAUGCAGAGUUCACCACUGCCAGCUCUGGAGCCAGACAGACCACCGAGAGUAGCCAAGGAACAAAUGAAGAGACGGAGCAGCCUGUUGAACAAAACAAUGAUGUGGAUGAGAAACGUGAAGACCAGUCAGAUUGUGAACAUCUGUGUGAGAAAGAUGCUUAUGAUGAGGAGCGAUUUGAUGAUGACGGGAUCUCAGAGAGAAAGGAAGAGUGUGAAGGUGAAAACCAGUGUCAGAAUGAUUGAUGAUAGAUCUAUAGCAGGACUUGAAGUGAUGAGCAUUUGUGGUUACAGACCGGCAUGGAGAUCUCAACUGGGCUGAUGUGGACACUAAUACAGACUCUCAAAAAAGCAAUAAGAGUCCCAGUCUUGAUGAAACUGAGAGGUAAAACACUAUAUACAAAAAAGUACAUGCAGAAUUAUUUUACAGCUGUUUGGAUAGAGAAAAGCAUCUGAAUUUAACGUGAUAUUGUCCUCUGAGGUGUUCAGAAGUGAAAUAAGUAUAAAAUAUAAAAGUGAAAACAGAAAUUAUAGUGACAUUGACUGUAAACAUUUAUUGUGUAUGUCAAGCUUAAAGGCGUAGUUCACCUAAAAAUGAACAUUCUGUCAUCAUUUACUUAUCCUCCCCUUGUUCCAAACCUGUUUGAGUUUUUUUUUCUUUCUGUUGAAUACUAUUGAUGAUAAACUGAAGAAUGUUGGGGGGGAAAGGUCAUUGACUUCCAUAGUAUUGUUUUCCUA